GUGGGGAAUUUUGGACAAUGGGCGAAAGCCUGAUCCAGCCAUGCCGCGUGCAGGAUGAAGGCCUUCGGGUUGUAAACUGCUUUUGUACGGAACGAAAAGACUCCUUCUAAUAAAGGGGGUCCAUGACGGUACCGUAAGAAUAAGCACCGGCUAACUACGUGCCAGCAGCCGCGGUAAUACGUAGGGUGCAAGCGUUAAUCGGAAUUACUGGGCGUAAAGCGUGCGCAGGCGGUUAUAUAAGACAGAUGUGAAAUCCCCGGGCUCAACCUGGGAACUGCAUUUGUGACUGUAUAGCUAGAGUACGGUAGAGGGGGAUGGAAUUCCGCGUGUAGCAGUGAAAUGCGUAGAUAUGCGGAGGAACACCGAUGGCGAAGGCAAUCCCCUGGGCCUGUACUGACGCUCAUGCACGAAAGCGUGGGGAGCAAACAGGAUUAGAUACCCGAGUAGUCC
rnacentral:rRNA from 1 species